CCCUAGUAACGGCGAGUGAAGCGGCAACAGCUCAAAUUUGAAAUCUGGCUUCGGCCCGAGUUGUAAUUUGCAGAGGAUGUUUCUGGCGCGGUGCCUUCCGAGUUCCCUGGAACGGGACGCCACAGAGGGUGAGAGCCCCGUAUGGUUGGACACCAAGCCUGUGUGAAACUCCUUCGACGAGUCGAGUAGUUUGGGAAUGCUGCUCAAAAUGGGAGGUAAAUCUCUUCUAAAGCUAAAUACCGGCCAGAGACCGAUAGCGCACAAGUAGAGUGAUCGAAAGAUGAAAAGCACCUUGAAAAGGGGGUUAAACAGUACGUGAAAUUGUUGAAAGGGAAGCGCUUGUGACCAGACUUGUGCCGGGCGGUUCAUCCGGGGUUCUCCCCGGUGCACUCCGCCCGGUUCAGGCCAGCAUCGGUUUUCGUUGGGGGAUAAGAACGUCAGGAACGUGGCCCUCCUUCGGGUGGGUGUUAUAGCCUGGCGUACGAUACCCUGGCGGGGACCGAGGUUCGCGCUCCGCAAGGAUGCUGGCGUAAUGGUCAUCAGCGACCCGUCUUGAAACACGGACCAAGGAGUCGUCCAUUAGAGCGAGCGUUUGGGUGUCAAACCCGCACGCGUAAUGAAAGUGAAAUUAGGUGAGAGCUUCGGCGCAUCAUCGACCGAUCCUGAUGUUCUCGGAUGGAUUUGAGUAAGAGUUUUAACGGACGGACCCGAAAGACAGUGAACUAUGCUUGUAUAGGGUGAAGCCAGAGGAAACUCUGGUGGAGGCUCGCAGCGGUUCUGACGUGCAAAUCGAUCGUCAAAUAUGAGCAUGGGGGCGAAAGACUAAUCGAACUGUCUAGUAGCUGGUUACCGCCGAAGUUUCCCUCAGGAUAGCAGUGUUGACCUUCAGUUUUAUGAGGUAAAGCGAAUGAUUAGGGACUCGGGGGCGCUUUUUAGCCUUCAUCCAUUCUCAAACUUUAAAUAUGUAAGAAGCCCUUGUUACUUAGUUGAACGUGGGCAUUCGAAUGUAGCAACACUAGUGGGCCAUUUUUGGUAAGCAGAACUGGCGAUGCGGGAUGAACCGAACGCGGGGUUAAGGCGCCAGAGUGUACGCUCAUCAGACACCACAAAAGGCGUUAGUACAUCUUGACAGCAGGACGGUGGCCAUGGAAGUCGGAAUCCGCUAAGGACUGUGUAACAACUCACCUGCCGAAUGUACUAGCCCUGAAAAUGGAUGGCGCUCAAGCGUACCGCCCAUACCCCGCCCUCAGGGUAGAAACGAUGCCCUGAGGAGUAGGCGGCCGUGGAGGUCAGUGACGAAGCCUA
rnacentral:rRNA from 2 species